GACGAACGCUGGCGGCGUGCCUAAUACAUGCAAGUCGAACGCACUCUCGUUUAGAUUGAAGGAGUUUGCUCCUGAUUGAUAAACAUUUGAGUGAGUGGCGGACGGGUGAGUAACACGUGGGUAACCUGCCCUAAAGUGGGGGAUAACAUUUGGAAACAGAUGCUAAUACCGCAUAAAACCUAACACCGCAUGGUGUAGGGUUGAAAGAUGGUUUCGGCUAUCACUUUAGGAUGGACCCGCGGUGCAUUAGUUAGUUGGUGAGGUAAAGGCUCACCAAGACCGGUGUUCCUUACCGACCCUAGGGGGUUAUUCGGCCCCCCUGGACUGGGGCACGGCCCCGGCUCCCUCGGGAGGCAGCAGUAGGGAAUCUUCCACAAUGGACGAAAGUCUGAUGGAGCAACGCCGCGUGAGUGAAGAAGGUUUUCGGAUCGUAAAACUCUGUUGUUGGAGAAGAAUGUAUCUGAUAGUAACUGAUCAGGUAGUGACGGUAUCCAACCAGAAAGCCACGGCUAACUACGUG
rnacentral:rRNA from 1 species